AUGGACGAGUCCCAAAUAGAACGAAACGCGCGUCCUGGAU
rfam:Schistosoma mansoni strain Puerto Rico chromosome 3, complete genome